rnacentral:rRNA from 1 species
GAUGAACGCUAGCUACAGGCUUAACACAUGCAAGUCGAGGGGAAACGACAUCGAAAGCUUGCUUUUGAUGGGCGUCGACCGGCGCACGAGUGAGUAACGCGUAUCCAACCUGCCCAUCACUUGGGAAUAACCUUGCGAAAGUAAGACUAAUACCCAAUGACAUCCCACGAAGACAUCUGAAUGGGAUUAAAGAUUUAUCGGUGAUGGAUGGGGAUGCGUCUGAUUAGCUUGUUGGCGGGGUAACGGCCCACCAAGGCAACGAUCAGUAGGGGUUCUGAGAGGAAGGUCCCCCACAUUGGAACUGAGACACGGUCCAAACUCCUACGGGAGGCAGCAGUGAGGAAUAUUGGUCAAUGGGCGAGAGCCUGAACCAGCCAAGUAGCGUGCAGGAUGACGGCCCUAUGGGUUGUAAACUGCUUUUAUAAGGGAAUAAAGUGGGUCUCGUGAGACUUUUUGCAUGUACCUUAUGAAUAAGGACCGGCUAAUUCCGUG